AGAGUUUGAUCCUGGCUCAGAACGAACGCUGGCGGCGUGUCUUAAGCAUGCAAGUCGUGCGGCAAGGGUAGCAAUACCCCUAGAGCGGCGGACUGGUGAGUAACACGUGGGUGACCUGCCUCUGGGAUGGGGAUAGCCACUAGAAAUAGUGGGUAAUACCGAAUACGUUCACCGGACUGUGGUUUGGUGAAGAAAGGCGCUUCGGCGCCACCCGGAGAUGGGCCUGCGUCCCAUUAGCUAGUUGGUGAGGUAAAGGCCCACCAAGGCGAUGAUGGGUAUCCGGCCUGAGAGGGUGUACGGACACAUUGGGACUGAGAUACGGCCCAAACUCCUACGGGAGGCAGCAGCUAAGAAUAUUCCGCAAUGGACGAAAGUCUGACGGAGCGACGCCGCGUGGAUGAUGAAGGCCGAAAGGUUGUAAAAUCCUUUUGUUGGGGAAGAAUAAGCAUGGGAGGUAAUGCCCGUGUGAUGACAUGAACCGACGAAUAAGCCCCGGCUAACUACGUGCCAGCAGCCGCGGUAACACGUAGGGGGCGAGCGUUGUCCGGAAUUACUGGGCGUAAAGAGUGCGUAGGCGGAUAUUUAAGUGAGAUGUGAAAUACCCGGGCUUAACCCGGGCACUGCAUUUCAAACUGGAUAUCUAGAGUGCGGGAGAGGAGAAUGGAAUUCCUAGUGUAGCGGUGAAAUGCGUAGAGAUUAGGAAGAACACCAGUGGCGAAGGCGAUUCUCUGGACCGUAACUGACGCUGAGGCACGAAAGCGUGGGUAGCAAACAGGAUUAGAUACCCUGGUAGUCCACGCCGUAAACGAUGAGUACUAGGUGUAGGAGGUAUCGACCCCUUCUGUGCCGCAGUAAACACAAUAAGUACUCCGCCUGGGAAGUACGAUCGCAAGAUUAAAACUCAAAGGAAUUGACGGGGGCCCGCACAAGCAGCGGAGCAUGUGGUUUAAUUCGAAGCAACGCGAAGAACCUUACCUGGACUUGACAUACCCUGAAUAUCUUAGAGAUAAGAGAAGCCCUUCGGGGCAGGGAUACAGGUGGUGCAUGGUUGUCGUCAGCUCGUGUCGUGAGAUGUUGGGUUAAGUCCCGCAACGAGCGCAACCCUUGUUGAUAGUUGCCAGCGUAGAGACGGGCACUCUAUCGAGACUGCCGUGGAGAACACGGAGGAAGGUGGGGAUGACGUCAAAUCAUCAUGCCCUAUAUGCCCUGGGCUACACACGUGCUACAAUGGCCUGAACAGAGGGAAGCGAAGGAGCGAUCCGGAGCGAAUCCCAAAAAACAGGUCCCAGUUCAGAUUGCAGGCUGCAACCCGCCUGCAUGAAGUCGGAGUUGCUAGUAAUCGCGGAUCAGCAUGCCGCGGUGAAUACGUUCCCGGGCCUUGUACACACCGCCCGUCACACCACGAAAGUUUACAACACCCGAAGUCAGCCAGCUAACAGUACUUGUACUGAGGCAGCUGCCGAAGGUGGGGUAAGUGAUUGGGGUGAAGUCGUAACAAGGUAACC
rnacentral:rRNA from 1 species